rnacentral:lncRNA from 1 species
CGGGAAAAGACUCGCAACGAUCGGGCUGGAGAACACCGAGGCGAACCGACAAGCUUACAGGACCCUCCUUGUCUCAGCACCUGGUCUGGGUCAGUACAUCUCCGGAGCAAUCCUGUUCGAGGAAACUCUUUAUCAGUCGACCACAGAUGGUAAGAAGAUGGUUGAUGUUCUUACUCAACAGAACAUAAUGCCAGGGAUCAAGGUCGACAAGGUAAUCGCUUAAAUCAUGUGCCAAUGCUCCUGUGACGUCGUCUGCUAGGAGAUGGGCAGGGCUGUGUUUGACGCCAUGUUGUCUUUUCCUCAGGGUUUAGUGCCACUCACUGGCUCAAAUGACGAAUCAUGGUGCCAAGGACUGGACGGCCUGGCAUCGCGAUGCGCAGCAUACUAUCAACAGGGUGCCCGCUUUGCUAAAUGGUAGAAUUCACUUCAUAAGUUGCAGGAACCUUCCUCGUGCAUGUUCUCAGAGGACUUACAUCAAACACAUUGCAGGCGUACAGUGGUCAGCAUUCCAAAUGGCCCAUCGGCUCUUGCAGUCAAGGAAGCUGCCUGGGGCUUGGCUCGAUACGCUGCCAUCGCACAAGUACACACACUCGGUUCCUUGUGUUGUUUCUUCAUCUUAUACUGCUAAAUCAUUGGAUUAUGUAUAUGAGAAGCUAUGGGGACAUGGGGGCUAAAAGAACUAAGCUGACCUCAAGUUCUCUUCUAAUGGGUUUGCAGGACAAUGGGUUGGUGCCGAUUGUGGAGCCAGAAAUCCUGCUUGACGGAGACCACGGAAUCGAGAGGACCUUCGAGGUUGCACAGAAAGUAUGGGCUGAGGUCUUCUUCUACCUGGCCGAGAACAACGUCAUGUUCGAAGGCAUCCUCCUGAAGCCGAGCAUGGUGACCCCGGGCGCUGAGUGCCCAGAGAAAGCCACACCAAAGCAAGUUGCUGAGUACACCUUGAAGCUUCUGCACAGAAGAAUCCCACCUGCUGUUCCUGGCAUCAUGGUAUUAACAUACAUUUGCUUCUCUUGUUGAAGUGACAGAAAGAAAUCCAAAGAACAUAAAACCAAAAAAAAAAAAAAAAUCAAGAAAAUUAAUAAUAGAAUAUAAAUGGAACAGAUGAUUAAAAAAAAGAAAAGAAAACCCAAAUCCAAUCAACCUCGAAGUUUUUCGUUGAUAGAGAGAGAUAAGGGAAAUUCCAAACACCUUCAAAAUAUAUUUCUUUUAUGUCACCUCAAUACCCUCUUGUAUUUGAUUCAUUAUCCUAAAAAUAAAUAGUCUCCAAAUAAUAUAUUUUCGAUUGAGAUACUAAAAAGUAAUUAUUGAUUUUAAUUAAUACUCGUGUGCUUCUGAUUGAUUGCUGUGAUAACAGUUUCUUUCCGGAGGCCAGUCGGAGGUGGAGGCAACCUUCAACCUGAACGCCAUGAACCAAGGCCCCAACCCAUGGCACGUCUCCUUCUCCUACGCCAGAGCGCUACAGAACACCUGCCUCAAGACAUGGGGAGGGAGGCCGGAGAACGUAAAGGCCGCGCAAGAUGCUCUGCUCUUCCGGGCCAAGGCCAACUCGCUCGCGCAGCUCGGAAAGUAUACAGGCGAGGGUGAGUCUGCAGAGGCUACAAAGGGGAUGUUUGUCAAGGGCUACAC